rnacentral:rRNA from 1 species
GCCAUACCACCCUGAACUCGCCCGAUCUUGUCUGAUCUCGGAAGCUAAGCAGGGUCGGGCCUGGUUAGUACUUGGAUGGGAGA